rnacentral:rRNA from 1 species
AAUUGAAGAGUUUGAUCAUGGCUCAGAUUGAACGCUGGCGGCAGGCCUAACACAUGCAAGUCGAACGGUAACAGGAAGCAGCUUGCUGCUUUGCUGACGAGUGGCGGACGGGUGAGUAAUGUCUGGGAAACUGCCUGAUGGAGGGGGAUAACUACUGGAAACGGUGGCUAAUACCGCAUAACGUCGCAAGACCAAAGAGGGGGACCUUCGGGCCUCUUGCCAUCAGAUGUGCCCAGAUGGGAUUAGCUUGUUGGUGAGGUAACGGCUCACCAAGGCGACGAUCCCUAGCUGGUCUGAGAGGAUGACCAGCCACACUGGAACUGAGACACGGUCCAGACUCCUACGGGAGGCAGCAGUGGGGAAUAUUGCACAAUGGGCGCAAGCCUGACUGCAGCCA